rnacentral:rRNA from 1 species
UAAGCAUAUCAAUAAGCGGAGGAAAAGAAACCAACAGGGAUUGCCCUAGUAACGGCGAGUGAAGCGGCAAUAGCUCAAAUUUGAAAUCUGGCUMUGCUCUAGGGUCCGAGUUGUAAUUUGUAGAGGGUGCUUUGGCACUGAUGGCGGUCUAAGUUCCUUGGAACAGGACAUCACAGAGGGUGAGAAUCCCGUAUGUGGUCGCUAAUCUUUGCCGUGUAAAGCCCCUUCAACGAGUCGAGUUGUUUGGGAAUGCAGCUCUAAAUGGGAGGUAAAUUUCUUCUAAAGCUAAAUAUUGGCCAGAGACCGAUAGCGCACAAGUAGAGUGAUCGAAAGAUGAAAAGCACUUUGGAAAGAGAGUCAAAAAGCACGUGAAAUUGUUGAAAGGGAAGCGCUUGCCGCCAGACUUGCCUGCAGUUGCUCACCUAGGCGCUCAGCCUGGGGCACUCUUCUGCAGGCAGGCCAGCAUCAGUUUGGGCAGCCGGAUAAAGGUCUCUGACACGUUCCUUCUACCUUUGUGUAGAUGGCCAUAUAGGGGAGACGUCAUGCGGUUAGCCUGGACUGAGGUCCGCGCAUUGCUAGGAUGCUGGCGUAAUGGCUGCAAGCGGCCCGUCUUGAAACACGGACCAAGGAGUCUAACAUCUAUGCGAGUGUUUGGGUGUCAAGCCCAAGCGCGCAAUAAACGUGAACGGAGGUGGGAACCCUCUUUUGGGGGUGCACCAUCGACCGAUCCUGAUGUCUUCGGAUGGAUUUGAGUAAGAGCAUAGCUGUUGGGACCCGAAAGAUGGUGAACUAUGCUUGAAUAGGGUGAAGCCAGAGGAAACUCUGGUGGAGGCUCGCAGCGGUUCUGACGUGCAAAUCGAUCGUCAAAUUUGGGCAUAGGGGCGAAAGACUAAUCGAACUAUCUAGUAGCUGG